UACGUAGGGUGCAAGCGUUUGUCCGGAUUUAUUGGGUUUAAAGGGUGCGUAGGCGGCCCUGUAAGUCAGUGGUGAAAUACUCCAGCUUAACUGGAGGGGUGCCAUUGAUACUGCAGGGCUUGAGUUAAGUUGAAGUUGGCGGAAUUGACGGUGUAGCGGUGAAAUGCUUAGAUAUCGUCAAGAACACCGAUAGUGAAGACAGCUAACUAAACUUUUACUGACGCUGAGGCACGAAAGUGUGGGGAUCAAACAGG
rnacentral:rRNA from 1 species